rnacentral:rRNA from 1 species
AUUGAACGCUGGCGGCAGGCCUAACACAUGCAAGUCGAGCGGAUGAAGGGAGCUUGCUCCUGGAUUCAGCGGCGGACGGGUGAGUAAUGCCUAGGAAUCUGCCUUGUAGUUGGGGAUAACGUCCGGAAACGGGCGCUAAUACCGCAUACGUCCUGAGGUAGAACGUGGGGGAUCUUCGGACCUCACGCUAUCUGAUGAGCCUAGGUCGGAUUAGCUAGUUGGUGGGGUAAAGGCCUACCAAGGCGACGAUCCGUAACUGGUCUGAGAGGAUGAUCAGUCACACUGGAACUGAGACACGGUCCAGACUCCUACGGGAGGCAGCAGUGGGGAAUAUUGGACAAUGGGCGAAAGCCUGAUCCAGCCAUGCCGCGUGUGUGAAGAAGGUCUUCGGAUUGUAAAGCACUUUAAGUUGGGAGGAAGGACAGUAAGUUAAUACCUUGCUGUUUUGACGUUACCAACAGAAUAAGCACCGGCUAACUUCGUG